UACGUAGGGGGCAAGCGUUGUCCGGAAUUAUUGGGCGUAAAGAGCGCGUAGGCGGUCCGAUAAGUCGGCUGUGAAAGUCAUGGGCUCAACCCAUGAAAGCCGGCCGAUACUGUCGGACUAGAGUCCGGAAGAGGCGAGUGGAAUUCCCGGUGUAGCGGUGAAAUGCGCAGAUAUCGGGAGGAACACCAAUGGCGAAGGCAGCUCGCUGGGCCACACCUGACGCUGAGACGCGAAAGCUAGGGGAGCGAACAGG
rnacentral:rRNA from 1 species